rnacentral:rRNA from 1 species
AUUGAACGCUGGCGGCAUGCUUUACACAUGCAAGUCGAACGGUAACAGGGAGCUUGCUCCGCUGACGAGUGGCGAACGGGUGAGUAAUGCGUCGGAACGUGCCGAGUAGUGGGGGAUAACGCAGCGAAAGUUGUGCUAAUACCGCAUACGUACUGAGGGAGAAAGUGGGGGACCUUUGGGCAUUACGCUAUCCGAGCGGCCGACGUCGGAUUAGCUAGUAGGUGAGGUAAAGGCUCACCUAGGCGACGAUCAGUAGCGGGUCUGAGAGGAUGAUCCGCCACACUGGGACUGAGACACGGCCCAGACUCCUACGGGAGGCAGCAGUGGGGAAUUUUGGACAAUGGGCGAAAGCCUGAUCCAGCCAUGCCGCGUGUCUGAAGAAGGCCUUCGGGUUGUAAAGGACUUUUGUCGGGGAGGAAAUCCCCAGCGCUAAUACCGCUGGGGGAUGACAGUACCUGAAGAAUAAGCACCGGCUAACUACGUGCCAGCAGCCGCCGCGGUAA